CUACGGGAGGCAGCAGUAGGGAAUCUUCCACAAUGGGCGCAAGCCUGAUGGAGCAACACCGCGUGAGUGAAGAAGGGUUUCGGCUCGUAAAGCUCUGUUGUUAAAGAAGAACACGUAUGAGAGUAACUGUUCAUACGUUGACGGUAUUUAACCAGAAAGUCACGGCUAACUACGUGCCAGCAGCCGCGGUAAU
rnacentral:rRNA from 1 species